UACGGAGGGUGCAAGCGUUACUCGGAAUUAUUGGGCGUAAAGGGCAGGUAGGUGGUCUUAUUUGUCCGGGGUGAAAUCCUUGGGCUUAACCUGAGAAGUGCCUCGGAAACGGUAAGACUAGAGUCCUAGAGAGGGUCGUGGAAUUCCCGGUGUAGCGGUGAAAUGCGUAGAGAUCGGGAGGAACACCAGAGGCGAAAGCGGCGACCUGGGAUAGGUACUGACACUCAACUGCGAAAAGCGUGGGGGAGCAAACAGG
rnacentral:rRNA from 1 species